rnacentral:rRNA from 1 species
UGGUAAUGAUGGCAAAAGGGUCACACCUGUUCCCAUCCCGAACACAGAAGUUAAGUCUUUUAGCGCCGAGGGUACUUGGGGGGCAACUCCCUGGGAGAGUAGGACGUUGCCAGGCG